GACGAACGCUGGCGGCGUGCUUAACACAUGCAAGUCGAACGGAAAGGCCCUGCUUUUGUGGGGUGCUCGAGUGGCGAACGGGUGAGUAACACGUGAGUAACCUGCCCUUGACUUUGGGAUAACUUCAGGAAACUAGGGCUAAUACCGGAUAGGAGCUCCUGCUGCAUGGUGGGGGUUGGAAAGUUUCGGCGGUUGGGGAUGGACUCGCGGCUUAUCAGCUUGUUGGUGUGGUAGUGGCGUACCAAGGCUUUGACGGGGAGCCGGCCUGAGAGGGUGACCGGCCACAGUGGGACUGAGAUACGGCCCAGACUCCUACGGGAGGCAGCAGUGGGGAAUAUUGCACAAUGGGCGGAAGCCUGAUGCAGCAACGCCGCGUGCGGGAUGACGGCCUUCGGGUUGUAAACCGCUUGCGCCUGUGACGAAGCGUGAGUGACGGUAAUGGGUAAAGAAGCACCGGCUAACUACGUG
rnacentral:rRNA from 1 species